CUCCUACGGGAGGCAGCAGUAGGGAAUCUUCGGCAAUGGGGGGAACCCGUGACCGAGCAACGCCGCGUGAGUGAAGAAGGUUUUCGGAUCGUAAAGCUCUGUUGUUAAGGAAGAACGAGUGUGAGAAUGGAAAGUUCAUACUGUGACGGUACUUAACCAGAAAGGGACGGCUAACUACGUGCCAGCAGCCGCGGUAAUACGUAGGUCCCGAGCGUUGUCCGGAUUUAUUGGGCGUAAAGCGAGCGCAGGCGGUUAGAAAAGUCUGAAGUGAAAGGCAGUGGCUCAACCAUUGUAGGCUUUGGAAACUGUUUAACUUGAGUGCAGAAGGGGAGAGUGGAAUUCCAUGUGUAGCGGUGAAAUGCGUAGAUAUAUGGAGGAACACCGGUGGCGAAAGCGGCUCUCUGGUCUGUCACUGACGCUGAGGCUCGAAAGCGUGGGGAGCGAACAGGAUUAGAUACCCUGGUAGUCCACGCCGUAAACGAUGAGUGCUAGGUGUUGGGUCCUUUCCGGGGCUCAGUGCCGCAGCUAACGCAUUAAGCACUCCGCCUGGGGAGUACGACCGCAAGGUUGAAACUCAAAGGAAUUGACGGGGGCCCGCACAAGCGGUGGAGCAUGUGGUUUAAUUCGAAGCAACGCGAAGAACCUUACCAGGUCUUGACAUCCCAGUGACCACCCUAGAGAUAGGGUUUCCCUUCGGGGCACUGGUGACAGGUGGUGCAUGGUUGUCGUCAGCUCGUGUCGUGAGAUGUUGGGUUAAGUCCCGCAACGAGCGCAACCCUUAUUGUUAGUUGCCAUCAUUGAGUUGGGCACUCUAGCGAGACUGCCGGUAAUAAACCGGAGGAAGGUGGGGAUGACGUCAAAUCAUCAUGCCCCUUAUGACCUGGGCUACACACGUGCUACAAUGGCUGGUACAACGAGUCGCAAGCCGGUGACGGCAAGCUAAUCUCUGAAAGCCAGUCUCAGUUCGGAUUGUAGGCUGCAACUCGCCUACAUGAAGUCGGAAUCGCUAGUAAUCGCGGAUCAGCACGCCGCGGUGAAUACGCUCCCGGGCCUUGUACACACCGC
rnacentral:rRNA from 1 species